rnacentral:rRNA from 1 species
UGAGGAAUAUUGGUCAAUGGGCGAGAGCCUGAACCAGCCAAGUCGCGUGAGGGAGUACUGCCCUAUGGGUUGUAAACCUCUUUUGUCGGGGAGCAAAAGCCGGACGUGUCCGGCUGUGAGAGUACCCGAAGAAAAAGCAUCGGCUAACUCCGUGCCAGCAGCCGCGGUAAUACGGAGGAUGCGAGCGUUAUCCGGAUUUAUUGGGUUUAAAGGGUGCGCAGGCGGAUUUUUAAGUCAGCGGUCAAAUCGUGGGGCUCAACCCCAUCCAGCCGUUGAAACUGGGGAUCUAGAGUGUGCGAGAGGUAUGCGGAAUGCGUGGUGUAGCGGUGAAAUGCAUAGAUAUCACGCAGAACCCCGAUUGCGAAGGCAGCAUACCGGUGCACAACUGACGCUCAGGCACGAAAGCGUGGGUAUCGAACAGG